GCUCCUACCGAUUGAGUGAUCCGGUGAAUUUUCUGGACUUCUGGUUCGCGCCGAGAAGGAAGUUAAAUAAACCUUAUCACUUAGAGGAAGGAGAAGUCGUAACAAGGUUUCC
rnacentral:rRNA from 1 species